AGAAUACAAAACAUAUGCCCUGGAAUACACUUGUGUCAGUGACAAAUGCUGCUUUGCUGUGCUACACCGAGUACAAGGUCGUGUCCAGUGAUUCAAGUUUGACACACCACACCACGGUGGAUGUGCCUUUCAUGACGCAUCUUCUCAGCAGCACUAGAAGAUACAUCCAAAGUCCUGUGAGCAAGGUCUGUGGUAUCUGUUUAUUAUGGCAGCCCAGUGAGACUAAGACAGGCCAUCAAAAGACGUGAACGUUUUGGACCUUCUCUUGGGCCCUAGUAAACAGAAAUCAGGCUACUUAUUAAACUAAACCACGUUCUGAACUGUUACUGCUACUGGAAACCAGUCCCGAUCCAGACCCCAAAAGAGGAUUCUUGGAUCUUGCACAAGAAAGAAAGGGUAAGUCCAUAAAGUAAAGUGAAAGCAUGUUUAUUAAGAAAGUAAAGGAUAAAG
rnacentral:lncRNA from 1 species